GGAGGAGUCGCCUAGCCUGGCCAAUGGCGGGAGACUGUAAAUCUCCUGGCGUAAGCCUGCGCAGGUUCGAAUCCUGCCUCCUCCACCA
rnacentral:tRNA from 2 species